AGGACGAACGCUGGCGGCGUGCUUAACACAUGCAAGUCGAGCGGAAAGGCCCUUCGGGGUACUCGAGCGGCGAACGGGUGAGUAACACGUGAGCAACCUGCCCUUAGCUCUGGGAUAGCUCCGGGAAACCGGAAUUAAUACCGGAUAUGACCUAGGCCGACAUCGGCCGCGGUGGAAAGUUUUUCGGCUAGGGAUGGACUCGCGGCCUAUCAGCUAGUUGGUGGGGUAAUGGCCUACCAAGGCGACGACGGGUAGCCGGCCUGAGAGGGCGACCGGCCACGACUGGGACUGAGACACGGCCCAGACUCCUACGGGAGGCAGCAGUGGGGAAUCUUGCGCAAUGGGCGAAAGCCUGACGCAGCGACGCCGCGUGGGGGAUGAAGGCCUUCGGGUUGUAAACCCCUUUCAGCAGGGACGAAGCGAAAGUGACGGUACCUGCAGAAGAAGCGCCGGCUAACUACGUGCCAGCAGCCGC
rnacentral:rRNA from 1 species